UUGGAAGCAGCCAUUCAUUUAAAGAGUGCGUAACAGCUCACUAGUCGAGGAGUUUUGCAUGGAUAAUAAUCGGGCAUAAGCCCUUUACCGAAGCUGUGGAUGUCGCAAGACGUGGUAGGGGAGCAUUCCGUCGGCGGCGAAGGUCAGCCUCGAGGCUGGCUGGAGCUUACGGAAAAGCAAAUGUAGGUAUAAGUAACGAUAAAGGGGGCGAGAAACCCCCUCGCCAUAAGACUAAGGAUUCCUGAUCAACGCUAAUCGGAUCAGGGUAAGUCGGGACCUAAGGCGCAGCCGAACGGCGCAGCCGAUGGAAGAAACGGUCAAGAUUCCGUUACUGGUAUAAGGAGCGACGUGGAGACGGAGAAGUGACACACCCGCCUGCUGACGGAAUAGCAGGUUAAAGGAGGUAGGUAUACAUGACCCAGGCAAAUCCGGGUCUUGUGCCGAAACUGACAGUAUCGAGAGCCCCCGGGCAAUCGAAUAGCGGUGGUAAGCAGGCUCCCGAGAAAAUCCGCUAAGCAUAUUCUUAUAUCACCCGUACUCCAAACGGACACACGUAGUCGGGUAGAAUAUACCAAGGCGCUCGAAAGAUUCACGGUUAAGGAACUAGGCAAAUUGACCCUGUAACUUCGGGAAAAAGGGUCCCCAGUAAGAUGGGGCGCAGAGAAUAGGUCCAGGCAACUGUUUAACAAAAACACAGGGCUGUGCAAAAUUUAAAGAUGAAGUAUACAGCCUGACACCUGCCCGGUGCCGGAAGGUUAAGAGGAGACGUCAUCGCAAGAGAAGCGUUGAAUUGAAGCCCCGGUAAACGGCGGCCGUAACUAUAACGGUCCUAAGGUAGCGAAAUUCCUUGUCGGGUAAGUUCCGACCUGCACGAAUGGUGUAAUGAUCCGGACACUGUCUCAACCGUGAGUUCGGUGAAAUUGUAGUAUCGGUGAAGAUGCCGAUUACCCGCAACGGGACGAAAAGACCCCGUGAACCUUUACUGCAACUUAACAUUGCGUUUGGGCAUUCGAUGUGUAGGAUAGUCCGGAGGCUGAGAAGCGGCGACGCCAGUCGUCGUGGAGCCGCUGUUGAAAUACGGACCUUUGAAUGUUUGAACGCUAACUCGCAGGAGCGAGGACACUGUUUGGUGGGUAGUUUGACUGGGGUGGUCGCCUCCAAAAGCGUAACGGAGGCUUCUAAAGGUACCCUCAGGCCGAUUGGUAACCGGCCGCAGAGUGUAAUGGCACAAGGGUGCUUGACUGAGAGACAGACAAGUCGACCAGGUAGGAAACUAGAGCAUAGUGAUCCGGUGGUUCCGCAUGGAAGGGCCAUCGCUCAAAGGAUAAAAGGUACUCCGGGGAUAACAGGCUGAUCCCUCCCAAGA
rnacentral:rRNA from 1 species